UUUUUCGUGGGGGAUAGCGUAGGGAAACUUACGCUAAUACCGCAUACUACCUACGGGUGAAAGCAGGGGAUCUUCGGACCUUGCGCGAUUGAAUGAGCCGAUGUCGGAUUACCUAAUUGGCGGGGUAAAGGCCCACCAAGGGUAUGAUCCGUANCUGGUCUGAAAAGAUGAUCAGCCACAGUGGAACUGAGACACGGUCCAUACUCCUACGGGAGGCAGCAGUGGGGAAUAUUGGACAAAUGGGAGCAAGGCGUGAUACAGCCAUACCGAGUGGGUGAAAAAGAAAAUCGGGUUGUGAAGCCGUUUUGUUGGGUAAGUAAUCCAGGUGGUUAAUACCCGUUUGGGAUGACGGUAGGCAAAGAAUAAUCUCCGGCUAACUUCGUGAUCAGCAGCCUGGGUGAUACGAAGGGUGCAAGCUUUAUUAGGAAUUAUUGGGUGUAAAGAGUGCGUAGGUGCUCGUUUAAGUCCGUUGUGUAAGCUAUGGGCUCAACCUGGGAUAUGCAGUGGAUACUGGGGUAUUAGAGUGUGGUAGAGGGUAGUGGAAUUUCUCCCUACCAGUGAGAUGCUUAGAGAUCAGGGGGCACGUUCUUGG
rnacentral:rRNA from 1 species